ACGGGUGAGUAACGCGUAGGUAAUCUGCCUUUUAGUGGGGAAUAACACAGGGAAACUUGUGCUAAUGCCGCAUGUGUAAGUGAUUACAAAGAGGGCCUCUAUUUAUAAGCUCUUGCUAAGAGAAGAGCCUGCGUCCUAUUAGCUUGUUGGUGGGGUAAAAGCUUACCAAGGCAACGAUAGGUAUCCGGUCUGAGAGGAUGAUCGGACACACUGGAACUGAGACACGGUCCAGACUCC
rnacentral:rRNA from 1 species